GACGAACCGAGCGAACGUUGUUCGGAAUCACUGGGCUUAAAGGGCGCGUAGGCGGGUGCUCAAGUCCGUGGUGAAAUCCUCCGGCUCAACCGGAGAAUUGCCUCGGAUACUGGGCGCCUCGAGGGUGGUAGGGGUAUGCGGAACUAUCGGUGGAGCGGUGAAAUGCGUUGAUAUCGAUAGGAACUCCGGUGGCGAAGGCGGCAUACUGGACCACCUCUGACGCUGAGGCGCGAAAGCCAGGGGAGCAAACGGG
rnacentral:rRNA from 1 species